UACGUAGGGUGCAAGCGUUGUCCGGAAUUAUUGGGCGUAAAGAGCUCGUAGGCGGUCUGUUGCGUCGGCUGUGAAAACCCGGGGCUCAACUCCGGGCCUGCAGCCGAUACGGGCAGACUAGAGUUCGGCAGGGGAGACUGGAAUUCCCAGUGUAGCGGUGAAAUGCGUAGAGAUCCGGAGGAACACCAGAGGCGAAGGCGGCCUACUGGGUCAGUACUGACGCUGAGCCGCGAAAGCCAGGGGAGCGAACGGG
rnacentral:rRNA from 1 species